rnacentral:lncRNA from 1 species
UGUGCUAGCAAUCAGCGAGACUCCGUGGGCGUAGGACCCUCCGAGCCAGGUGCGGGAUAUAUUCUCGUGGUGCGCCGUUUUUUAAGCCCGUCGGAAAGGCGCAGUAUUUGGGUAGGAGUGACCCGAUUUUCCAGUGAGAUGAACCCGGUACCUCAGCUGGAAAUGCAGAAAUCACCCGUCUUCUGCGUCGCUCACGCUGGGAGCUGUAGACUGGAGCUGUAGACAGGAGCUGUUCCUAUUCGGGCAUCUUGGCUCCUCCUUGACAAGCUUGAAGGUGAGCACCUCGAAGGGCUUCUUUUUAUGUUGAAAGGCACGGGUUUGCAUGGCGGUUCAUCAGAGGUCAAUACCCCAGUUUGAGAAAGUCCACUGUGGGGAGGAAAGAGAGACUUAAACAAGCCCUGGAAAAACAAAGAAUGGAACACCCCUCCGCUGACUUCAACCAACUGCCUGCUGAUGCGGCCUGACUCCCAGCCCUUUUUGCAGUUUUGAAGUGACAAACUGACUAGGCUACAAAGUAUUCAACCAUGGGCUGGUUCUGGCUGGUUCACCGAGGCUGUGUACAAAGUGUCUUCAUGUCCUGUGUUUCACCUUUUAACAUACAGAACCUAAUUUUACUGCAUUUUAAUGUUAAUUCUCCACUCGAAGGUGAACAUGGGAUGUAUGUAACACAUAUGUUUGCUUAUCAAGCACACAUAUGACCCCCUUUCAUGAAUAUUCAUAGUUCCCCCUGUGACCUGUUGAAUAUGUCUGUUUAGCCAACCUGUUUGGCAUAAAACUCCUAUCCCACCCUAUCUCCCUCAAAGUACCUGUUUGUGGUCUCAGCUGGAGGUGCCACUUCCCAGCCUGCAGUUUGCAACCCUUCUCAAGAAAUAAAGUCUUCCUUUCCAAGUU